AGCGAACGCUGGCGGCAGGCCUAACACAUGCAAGUCGAACGAACCCUUCGGGGUUAGUGGCGGACGGGUGAGUAACACGUGGGAACGUGCCUUUAGGUUCGGAAUAACUCAGGGAAACUUGUGCUAAUACCGAAUGUGCCCUUCGGGGGAAAGAUUUAUCGCCUUUAGAGCGGCCCGCGUCUGAUUAGCUAGUUGGUGAGGUAAUGGCUCACCAAGGCUACGAUCAGUAGCUGGUCUGAGAGGAUGACCAGCCACAUUGGGACUGAGACACGGCCCAAACUCCUACGGGAGGCAGCAGUGGGGAAUCUUGCGCAAUGGGCGGAAGCCUGAUCCAGCCAUGCCGCGUGAGUGAUGAAGGCCUUCGGGUUGUAAAGCUCUUUCGGCGGGGAAGAUAAUGACGGUACCCGCAGAAGAAGCCCCGGCUAACUUCGUGCCAGCAGCCGCCGUAAUAC
rnacentral:rRNA from 1 species